UUCGGGGGACAGGGUGACAGGUGGUGCAUGGUUGUCGUCAGCUCGUGUCGUGAGAUGUUGGGUUAAGUCCCGCAACGAGCGCAACCCUCGACCUUAGUUGCCAGCAUUCAGUUGGGCACUCUAAGGUGACUGCCGGCUAAAAGUCGGAGGAAGGUGGGGAUGACGUCAAAUCAUCAUGCCCCUUAUGACCUGGGCUACACACGUGCUACAAUGGGCGGUACAAAGGGUCGCGAACCCGCGAGGGGGAGCCAAUCCCAAAAAGCCGCUCUCAGUUCGGAUUGCAGGCUGCAACUCGCCUGCAUGAAGCCGGAACCGCUAGUAAUCGCGGAUCAGCAUGCCGCGGUGAAUACGUUCCCGGGCCUU
rnacentral:rRNA from 1 species